GACGAACGCUGGCGGCAUGCUUAACACAUGCAAGUCGAACGGAAAGGCCCUGCUUUUGUGGGGUGCUCGAGUGGCGAACGGGUGAGUAACACGUGAGUAACCUGCCCUUGACUUUGGGAUAACUUCAGGAAACUGGGGCUAAUACCGGAUAGGAGCUCCUGCUGCAUGGUGGGGGUUGGAAAGUUUCGGCGGUUGGGGAUGGACUCGCGGCUUAUCAGCUUGUUGGUGGGGUAGUGGCUUACCAAGGCUUUGACGGGUAGCCGGCCUGAGAGGGUGACCGGCCACAUUGGGACUGAGAUACGGCCCAGACUCCUACGGGAGGCAGCAGUGGGGAAUAUUGCACAAUGGGCGGAAGCCUGAUGCAGCAACGCCGCGUGCGGGAUGACGGCCUUCGGGUUGUAAACCGCUUUCGCCUGUGACGAAGCGUGAGUGACGGUAAUGGGUAGAGAAGCACCGGCUAACUACGUG
rnacentral:rRNA from 1 species